AGGAGGAAGCUAGAAGUGAGUAACCUCAGAGAGGAAGGUGUACUUGGUCCCUGUGUCAGGCGGAGCAGCUGGCAGAUAGAGAGACGUCUGUAGACAUCAGAACAAUGCUGGGUUCGCACAGUGACCCUGAGAUCCAGGAUGAGAAGUCGGAGCCUGAACCACAGUACCCGCCUUACCAGCCUCCUACCGACCCACCUGACCAACUGGCCACAGAGAGUCCAGAGCCACAAUGGCUGCCGAGGUGGCAGCCAACUGCUAAUGCCAAGGCACAAUCUGGAGCCACAGCUGAGCAGGCAGUGUAUAAGGAUUACAUGUGCUGGUCCAUCCUGAAUGUGCUCUUCUGCUGUUUCCCUCUCGGACUCUGUGCCCUGCAGUUCUCCCGCAAGACCAGGCGUGACAUAGACCGCGGAGAUUAUUCGGCUGCUAAAAGAAGUUCCUGCAUUACUUGUUUUCUCAAUGUCACAGCCCUAUUGAUUGGAAUACCUUUAAAUAUUGCAGUAGCUGUACACCUUGCUAAUAGGGUCAAAUCUAUGUGAAAGAUGGGAAAAAUCUGAAGUUUCUCAGCAAUUUCUGCUAUGCUUGGAACAAAUUUAUAUAUAAGCACACAUAUAUUGUGUUGUGUCUUUCUUUAUCAUAUGAAAUGCCAUUGAAUAA